rnacentral:rRNA from 1 species
UCCCAGCGGUCCAAGUCGCAACCACAAUUAUUGGGUCUAAAACAUCCGUAGCUUGCCUUGCAAGUCUCUUGUGAAAUCCGGCCUCUUAAGGGUCGAAGAGCGAGAGAUACUGCUUGGCUAGAGACCGGUAGAGGUAAGAAGUACGGUCGGGGUACCGGUAAAAUGGGUUGAUCCCGUCUGGACUAACAACAGCGAAGGCAUCUUACCAGCACGGAUCUGACAGUAAGGGAUGAAGGCUAGGGGCGCAAAAGGG